ACUGCUACCAUUGCAGACGCUGGUACUUCCUUUGCUGGCAUAUCUCAUUCUUCGGGUCCUUGGGUUCUUGAUUCUGGGGCCACCGAUCAUAUCACUGGACCGGAGUACGGGGAGGAUGAUUGGCUUCGGAUGUGAAUCUCAUGGCCUAUAUCGGCUU